CGUCCCUAUUUACAUUGGAGAAAUGAACGUGAAAUCCUGGCAGAGAGCAAUGGACAAGGCCGUGGCCAGACCUGAGAGAAGGAGCCUUGAAGGGAGACUGCAGGCGGACAUCUGCUGCAUUGCAAGUGAUGGGGCAGUGGGGAGAGAGAAGAAAAUGAGGGAGGAAACAUUAGGCCACAUUAGGCGCACCAUUGGAAGUGCUAUGAAAACGCUUUGAACAGGAAUGGAUUCCCCUCAGGGAUUCUGGGAACUGUAGGUGGUUAAGGGGACAGAGAGUUGCUAGGGGGGUUAGCGUUAGGGUAGGGGUAAGGUUAGCGGGUAGGGGAAGGGUUCCCUCCUUGUGAGGGAAUUCUGGGAAUUGUAGCUCUAGUUAAGGGUUAAAGAUUAGCAUUAGAGUUAGGGUUAGGGGUAGGGUUCUCUACUUGCCAGGGAACUCUGGGAAUUGUUGCUCUGGCUAAGAGCUAAGGGGUAGGGGUAGGGUUCCCUCCUUGUGAGGGAACUCUCGGAAUUGUAGCUCUAGUUAAGGCUUAGAGUUAGGGUUAGCGUCAGGGGUAGAGUUAGGGGUUCCCUUCUUGCCAGGGAACUCUGGGAAUUGUAGUUCUAGUUAAGGGUUAGCAUUAGAGUUAGGGAGUUAGGGUUAGCGUUAGCGUCAGGAGCAGGGUUAGGGUUAGGAGUAGAGUUCCCUUCUUGGCAGGGAACUCUGGGAGGGGAGCAGGGGGCCUCCUAACAGCUCUCUGCACCCUUUUCAAACUAUAGCUCCCAGAUUCUUUGGGGAAGAAGCCAUGAGUGUUUAAAGCGGCUUCAUAGUGCUUUAAAUGGUGUGGAUGUGGCCCUGGCCUCCCUCACCCCACUGCCUCUUAUUAUUGAGGAAUCGAAAGGGUUUUCCCACUCAAAUCUCUCGGAAACAGGAAACAGGAAGAAGAAAGACUUUGCAUCUGAUGCCAUUUUGAAAUGUCUUAACUUGAAAUGCCAAUAAAGGUAUUUGGAUUGUA